rnacentral:rRNA from 1 species
UACGUAGGGUGCUAGCGUUAUCCGGAUUUACUGGGCGUAAAGGGCGCGUAGGCGGUCUUUCAAGUCGGUGGUUAAAGGCUACGGCUCAACCGUAUUAAGCCGUCGAAACUGGAAGACUUGAGUGCAGGAGAGGAAAGUGGAAUUCCCAGUGUAGCGGUGAAAUGCGUAGAUAUUGGGAGGAACACCAGUGGCGAAGGCGGCUUUCUGGGCUGUAACUGACGCUGAGGCGCGAAAGCGUGGGGAGCGAACAGG